rnacentral:rRNA from 1 species
UCUUCCUACGGGGGGCAGCAGUGAGGAAUAUUGGUCAAUGGGCGAGAGCCUGAACCAGCCAAGUCGCGUGAGGGAAGACGGUCCUAUGGAUUGUAAACCUCUUUUGCCGGGGAGCAAAAAGCGGUACGUGUACCGCAUCGAGAGUACCCGGAGAAAAAGCAUCGGCUAACUCCGUGCCAGCAGCCGCGGUAAUACGGAGGAUGCGAGCGUUAUCCGGAUUUAUUGGGUUUAAAGGGUGCGCAGGCGGAAGAUCAAGUCAGCGGUAAAAUUGAGAGGCUCAACCUCUUCGAGCCUUUGAAACUGGU